UACGAAGGGGGCUAGCGUUGUUCGGAAUUACUGGGCGUAAAGCGCACGUAGGCGGACUUUUAAGUCAGGUGUGAAAUCCCGGGGCUCAACCUCGGAACUGCAUUUGAAACUGGGAGUCUUGAGACCAGGAGAGGUUAGCGGAAUACCGAGUGUAGAGGUGAAAUUCGUAGAUAUUCGGUGGAACACCAGUGGCGAAGGCGGCUAACUGGACUGGUACUGACGCUGAGGUGCGAAAGUGUGGGGAGCAAACAGGAUUAGAUACCCUGGUAGUCCACACCGUAAACGAUGAGAGCUAGUUGUUGGCAGGCAUGCCUGUCGGUGACGCAGCUAACGCAUUAAGCUCUCCGCCUGGGGAGUACGGCCGCAAGGUUA
rnacentral:rRNA from 1 species